UCCGGAAUCAUUGGGCGUAAAGCGCUUGUAGGUUGUUUAAUAAGUCUGUUGUUAAAGACUAGGGCUUAACCCUAGGAAAGCAAUGGAAACUACUAGACUUGAGUAUGAUAGGGGUAGAGGGAAUUUCUAGUGUAGCGGUGAAAUGCGUAGAUAUUAGGAAGAACACCGGUGGCGAAGGCGCUCUACUGGAUCAUUACUGACACUCAGAGGCGAAAGCUAGGGUAGCAAAAGGGAUUAGAUACCCCUGUAGUCCUAGCCGUAAACGAUGGAUACUAGAUGUUGCGUUUAUUAUGCAGUAUCGUAGCUAACGCGUUAAGUAUCCCGCCUGGGGAGUACGCUCGCAAGGGUGAAACUCAAAGGAAUUGACGGAGGCCCGCACAAGCGGUGGAGCAUGUGGUUUAAUUCGAUGCAACGCGAAGAACCUUACCAAGGCUUGACAUACUACAAAUUUUUCUGAGAAGAAAAAGUGCCUUCGGGAAUGUAGAUACAGGUGGUGCAUGGCUGUCGUCAGCUCGUGUCGUGAGAUGUUGGGUUAAGUCCCGCAACGAGCGCAACCCUUGUUUUUAGUUGCCAAUUUAUUGGGUUUUCUAGAAAGACUGCCGGUGACAAACCGGAGGAAGGUGAGGAUGACGUCAAGUCAGCAUGCCCCUUAUGCCUUGGGCUACACACGUGCUACAAUGGCUAGGACAAAGAGUUGCGAGCUCGCGAGAGUCAGCUAAUCUCAUAAACUUAGCCUAAGUUCGGAUUGUAGGCUGCAACU
rnacentral:rRNA from 1 species